rnacentral:rRNA from 1 species
CGAACGGCUCCGUAUAUCUGUUAUCACCACUAGCCCAUUAUAGAGUAAUAUACACGAGCGGAUAUGGCUCGGUAAUUCUGUCAGUAAUACGUGAACGUGCACUCCGUGCUGCUGUGUGGGUGUGCCGGCGAAAGCCAAACAGGAAACUGUUCUGUGCCCCCCUAAGCAAAAGCUGGUCUCAUAGUCUGACCCGCGUUAUAGGCGUCAAGUCUGUUCGCAGGAAAGCGCAUGAGGGAACCUGACCACUCCAGGGUGGCGGAGGCUAUGGGUUUCAGACCUAUCAACUUGAGGACCGGGUUAUGUCCAGUCCUGGUGAUAACGGGUACAGAGGAUCAGGGUUCGAUCCUGGAGAGGUAGCCUGAGAGAUCGCUACUACUUCUAAGGAAGGCAGCAGGCGCGCAACGUUCCCAAUGGGUAAUAGACCAACCUGAGGACGUGAAGGGACAUAACGAUGCCCGGCCCAUAAAGGCGGGGUAAUCGUAAUGGGGAAAUCUUAAACCCCCCACCGAGUAACAAUUGGAGGACAAGUCUG